rnacentral:tRNA from 1 species
GGGGAUUUAGCUCAGUGGUAGAGCACUUGCCUAGUAUGCGCAAGGCCCUGGGUUCGGUCCCCAGCUCCG